rnacentral:ncRNA from 1 species
GUCAGCUCGUGCCGUAAGGUGUUGGGUUAAGUCCCGCAACGAGUGCAACCCUCGUGUUUAGUUGCCAUCAUUGAGUUUGGAACCCUGAACAGACUGCCGGUGAUAAGCUCGAGGAAGGUGAAGAUGAC